UGGGGAAUAUUGCACAAUGGGGGAAACCCUGAUGCAGCGACGCCGCGUGAACGAAGAAGGUAUUCGUAUCGUAAAGUUCUGUCCUAUGGGAAGAUAAUGACAGUACCAUAGAAGAAAGCUCCGGCUAAAUACGUGCCAGCAGCCGCGGUAAUACGUAUGGAGCGAGCGUUGUCCGGAAUUAUUGGGCGUAAAGGGUACGCAGGCGGUUUAAUAAGUCGAAUGUUAAAGAUCGGGGCUCAACCCCGCAAAGCAUUGGAAACUGUUAAACUUGAGUAGUGGAGAGGAAAGUGGAAUUCCUAGUGUAGUGGUGAAAUACGUAGAUAUUAGGAGGAAUACCAGUAGCGAAGGCUACUUUCUGGACACAAACUGACGCUGAGGUACGAAAGCGUGGGGAGCAAACAGG
rnacentral:rRNA from 1 species